CUACGGGAUGCACCAGUGGGGAAUAUUGGGCAAUGGGCGCAAGCCUGACCCAGCAACGCCGCGUGAGGGAAGAAGGUUUUCGGAUUGUAAACCUCUGUCCUUGGGGACGAAGAAGUGACGGUACCCAAGGAGGAAGCUCCGGCUAACUACGUGCCAGCAGCCGCGGUAAUACGUAGGGGGCAAGCGUUGUCCGGAAUUACUGGGCGUAAAGGGUGCGUAGGCGGCAUAUUAAGUCAGGUGUGAAAUACUCGGGCUCAACCCGGGGGCUGCAUUUGAAACUGAUAUGCUUGAGUGUGAGAGAGGAAAGUGGAAUUCCUAGUGUAGCGGUGGAAUGCGUAGAUAUUAGGAGGAACACCAGUGGCGAAGGCGACUUUCUGGCUCAUAACUGACGCUGAGGCACGAAAGCGUGGGGAGCAAACAGGAUUAGAUACCCGGGUAGUC
rnacentral:rRNA from 1 species